AACGAACGCUGGCGGCAUGCCUAACACAUGCAAGUCGAACGAGACCUUCGGGUCUAGUGGCGCACGGGUGCGUAACGCGGGGGAACCUGCCCUUAGGUUCGGAAUAACUCCCCGAAAGGGGUGCUAAUACCGGAUAAUGUCUUCGGACCAAAGAUUUAUCGCCUUUGGAUGGGCCCGCGUUGGAUUAGCUAGUUGGUAGGGUAAAAGCCUACCAAGGCGACGAUCCAUAGCUGGUCUGAGAGGAUGAUCAGCCACACUGGGACUGAGACACGGCCCAGACUCCUACGGGAGGCAGCAGUGGGGAAUAUUGGACAAUGGGCGAAAGGCUGAUCCAGCAAUGCCGCGUGAGUGAUGAAGGCCUUAGGGUUGUAAAGCUCUUUUACCCGGGAUGAUAAUGACAGUACCGGGAGAAUAAGCUCCGGCUAACUCCGUG
rnacentral:rRNA from 1 species